GGGGGCGGGCGUGAGGGGCGCUGUGAGGCGGCCGGGGCCGGGGCCGGGGCCGCUGCCCCGGGGCUUGUGGCGGCGCCGGGGCCGAGGCGGGUGCGGGCGGCAACGGCCGCAGGAUAGAAGCCACCACCCGCCGGCUGCCCGCCGCCCCAGGGCGGAACGCCGUGACACAGGCGUUAAGGCUCGUAAAUACUGAUACCAGCGGAAUGGGGUCCGGGAGCGGGGAGGUCGCUCGUGCCAGAGUGUCCUGAGCUGUGAGGCUCGCGGGUGGUGUGGGUACAAGGAGGGGAAGGGGUUUCUUGCAGCCGGGACUGGAGUCGUGGCUGACGGCUGUGCCUGCGAGCUGUGGCCUCAACGCCCUGUUGGGCUCACUGCGCUUCGGCUUGUGGAUCCUUACGUGGAGAAUUAACAUAAGAGAUUUAUGGAAAAGCAGUAUCUUAUUUCCUUGAUGCUUACCUGCUUCCUUCUCAACUGACUAAAACUACAUUUGCUUUUUUGACUCUGUGCUUAGGAAAAAAAUGUUUUUGUUGGAGAGAAUGCAUCUUGUAUGACUCAGGCAUGGAGGAAACAGAAUAUUAAAGUAAACCUGUCUUCCCGAAUAUAGGAAAUAAACUGGAUUUGCAAUGUGCAUGGGCAGCAUGUAGUCAACACUUGUUAGGUAUUAGAUGCAUAGAAUGUAUUUGAAUAAAAUUGGUCCUGGCGGGGUUGGUGAUAGAUCUUUUUUGUUUCCUUUAUAAUACCUCUGUGAUUUUCUUAUUUGUCUAUUUGCAUUUGCUUUUACUUCCGUUCCAUCGAAUUAAUGGAAAGGCUUUUAGUUUAAUUUGAAAGUAAAGGAUUUCUCUGUUGCGUGAUCUUGUUUAUAUUUUUGUGUAUACAGUAGAGACAUUAAAUGAAAAAUCAUGAGUAAACGCCGUUGUUUGACACCGCAGCUGCAUGGAUCUAAACCAAACAAGAAGAGAGAACUGUAAUUUUUUUUUGAAGGAUCUUAACCAUAUGAUGUUUUGCUUGAAAGUGGACUAAUUAGAAACAGACAUUUGAUGGCUCCAGGAGACAGCUGCAUAGGUACCUCCAUUUUUUCCUCAACAGUGAGACUUCACUAAUUUGAAAUAGAAGUAAAUUAGGGGGAAGAUCAUACAAGCGGGAUGUCAGCAUUCCUCUUUUGCAUGCCAAGCCACUGUGUGUCCCCUUAUACAAAUGAGAGCUGUAUCCAACAAUACCUUCCUAAUGCUGCAGAUAGCCUAGCAAAGAUCAAAAGAGCAAACAGUCUUACUGUAACAUACCUGAACCACCGAGGGCACUGGAAGCGUGGCUGAUAAAACUGUUAAGGUUAUAGGCUAAUGCCUUCUUCAUUCCUGCCUCAGAAAAAUGGGAUGACCUUCUGUAAGUGCUUCAGCAUUCUGCAGAAGAAACGUAUGUUUAUAUAUAUUUUAUAGAUAUAUAUAUAUGAAUAUGAUAUUAUUUACAUUUUAAAAGACCUUCUACACUAAAACAGGGGAAGCUUUCUAUGUGUAAAUGAUAACCCAGUCUGGGAGGAUGUAUCUGAAAAGAUUAUGUGAGGAACUCGUAGUAUGCCUAUGUCCUUGGACCUGUAAAUGACUAAGCUUAGUAUGCAUGCCUAAGUUGACUAUCAAGGCCCUGAAAGACCACCAGUAGAAACAAAUGUGCAUAGGUCAGGGAUAUUUACAUACUUUAACAAGGGCCGGGAAAUAGUGUGGAUAUGUUAGUUAUUUCUUGGAAAUCAAAUGAAUAUGUUUUGAUUCUAUGUAACCCCUGUAGCUUGAACAAUUCGACACGCAUACUAGGUGGAGUGAUCCCCUGUGUGUCCAGCACUGCAAUUAAAGAAUGCCUGCCUUCUAAAACUCCAAAUUGAGUUGUAGAGAUUUUCUUUGACUGACUUUUAUGGUAACAUAAGCACCAUCAGGAAUCAAGCUGAUCAAGUCCAUAUAUAUAUAGACCUUGCUAGUGAGCCUUUGUCCUGUCCAGCCAGAGAGGGGAGCGGAACAAGGCUGUUGGUGCUAUCUGUGUCUGGGAUUUGUGCCUGGCUGUGUAUGUAUGUGGUGUUUUCAUGUACAUACUGGGAAUGCAUCUUCUGUCUCACUACUGGUGGGACCUGGGAUGUGGAGCUGUAGCAGCCUUGAUCCAGCAUAAUAUAUUUUCUCCUGAAAGAAGCAAGCAAAACUUAGGUAAUAUUGGAAAAGUUGCACUAAUUCAGAGAUAACUCUUCCAAAGGCAUUUUAUUCACUGUACUUUGGACUGUCAAUGCCUAGUCUCAAAAAUUCUUGAAAGUCUAAAGCAAACAUUUGCAUAAAAUCACCAGCUUUAAAAAUAGUAAUAAUAAGUAAAAAUAAUAUUCCUAUUUACCUUGUGGACUGAAAAAGCCAUUUUACAAAGUAUUUAGAGUGAGGUUUUAGAUAACUCAUGUUUUGUACAAAAGCUGUAAGAUGUCUAAACAACCCUUCCAUUCCUUAAUAUAAUGAAGACUACCUACUUAAUUGAUUCUGAAAGUAUUUUUUGAAAGUUUCAUAUAAAAUUUGCCUAAUAUAAAGCCUGAAUGGCACCUUAAAACUAAAAACAAAUGCCCCCAAUUUCUUACUUCCUCGAUGACCAAUAAUUCUAAAGUAAUUGUGCUAGAAAAAGAAUCCGUUUAACAUGAUCAUCUGCAUAUGGCUAAAUGUUAUAAUUAGCUGUCUAGAAUAAUUAAAAUAAAAACUUGAAUAAACAAGUUUCUAAUUAAUGGAACACAAUAUUUUUCUAAAUGUCCUAAAGAGUUUUAGUUUCUUUAUUUCUAAGCCUUUCCUGCUUAAGCUUUUCCAUUUGGCAAAAAGGAAUUUUUCACAUGACACUUAAGGUCUUUAGAAGUGGUUUAUUUUUGCAUUUGUGGCUAUUUGCUGAAACAAGCUGUUAUUCAGAUCCUUUAUCCAUGUGGGAAUGAACAAACAAUUUGGUGAUCAUAAAUGCUUCUAAAAAAAAAAAAGCCUAUCACUUGUUAAAAAUUAGGAUGAGAUGAUGAUUGGAUUAGGAAUUGUUGCUUCUCUUAUGUUGUUUGCUGUGUUGAUUUUUCUCUUUUGUGGAUGAGAAGAGAAAAUAGAAGACUUUAGUUCAUUAUUCUAAAUGGGAAUUGUGUACAGCACAUAAAAUACAUACGGGAAAAGCCUUGUCUACAGCUGAAAUCAGGCAUUUGAAAUCUAGUCAAAGUGGAAAUGACCCCCUGAAGAGAAAAACAAUUAGUUAAACUGAUGGUUAGCUUAAACUAUACUUUAGAAUCAAUUUAUCUUAAAAUAUCUGUCUAUUUUGCGUUAUUCUUGGCUAGGUCUUACUCUAACAGUGUUUGUUCUUAAACUACAGCCUAGUACAUAUUUGAAUGUAUCUUAGUAACCAAGAUGCAUUUUGAUUCAUAAAACAACUACUUUUGCUUUGCAUGUGGUAAAGUGACUAUGAGGCUCGUAGGAAACUGACUCAUAACGGAAAGCUUUCUCCAGCGUGCCCCAUAACAUAGGCACAGUUGCCAAGAAGUUUUGUCAGUUCAUUUCCAUAGUAACCAAUCAAUAAAACUAUUUAUUUUCUAAAGGCCUUGCACAUGAACUAAGAUUCUCAGAAAUUUAGAUAAUAAUGUUCUGAAUAUUUUACUAAUUUCCUUUCAGCAUAAAGGGAACAACUUGCUGGUGCUUUUAUUCACACAAAAAAUACCUUUAUUAAAAUGUGACAAUUUUUUUAAUUGUAUAAUGAAAUUAAAAGAAGAACAAUUCACUUUUUGUUGUUGUUGUUGUUUCUGCACAUUGUAGAUAAAUGUUUCAAAGACCUUAAAAUGGCAACAGUGACCAUGUCCUUACUUGUAUGAUGAGCAGAUACUAGGGGAAGUCACUUUCUGACCUUUAUGGGUGACAGUGAGAGACUCAGCAAAAGUCUGCAUUUCUUCUAUUUACAAAAUAGACAUUUGAUUUUUUUCUCCAGAUAUUAUUUGAUGCAUAGUAAUGUAUAAAUGCAGGUUCCCUGCGGCCAUAGCUGACAUGCCUUGAUCUGAGACUAGAGAUAGAAUGGAGGAGGAGGUGAGGUCAAAGGAUUGGCAAGCGUUCUUGCAAACUCAAUACAAGUUCGUACAACUGCAUGCGUUACAGUAUUAAUUAGAUAUUUCUGCUAGGAUUUAAUUUCAGGAAUUCUCUGAAGUGCAGCACAACUGACAGCUACAAAAAUCACUUAUUUUAAGGAACAGCAUUUUCAGUUAUCCUCUUAAUGUAUAGGUUUUUAAAUACAGUGUUGUGCUUAAACCAAGAUUCUUACUCUGCGAUGAAACAAAACAAAAUCUGAUUCUGGGAUUUUGUGUCUGUGCAUUUGUUUCUGUGGGGGAGGAAUACUACCAGUGUGCCAAAAUAUCAAGUUUUUUGUAAAAGAAGUCUUGACAAACGAUAUCACUUAGUUCACCUGCAUUCAAGUUCACCUUCCCACUCAUUCUUUUUAGCCUAACAAAUUCCCAAAAGUUUGGCUAAUUACCAUCAGGGUUAAGGACAUGACCACAUCUAUUGUCUUUUAGUAUCAUUGGAGGCCUGUUGCUUCUAGUGCUCGCGUGAGGACAUUAGUAUUGUUUCAUAUGAGUUUCUUAAAUUCUUGAAUGUACUGAUAGUACUGUUCACAGAAGGACUGGAGUACUACAGUGAAUUUAGUGACUUAAUAUCUCUUCUCUAUUUGAAGCAAAAUAUUGUAGC